rnacentral:rRNA from 1 species
CCUACGGGUGGCAGCAGUGAGGAAUAUUGGUCAAUGGACGAGAGUCUGAACCAGCCAAGUAGCGUGAAGGAUGACUGCCCUAUGGGUUGUAAACUUCUUUUAUAUGGGAAUAAAAUGUUCCACGUGUGGGAUUUUGUAUGUACCAUAUGAAUAAGGAUCGGCUAACUCCGUGCCAGCAGCCGCGGUAAUACGGAGGAUCCGAGCGUUAUCCGGAUUUAUUGGGUUUAACGGGAGCGUAGGUGGAUUGUUAAGUCAGUUGUGAAAGUUUGCGGUCAACCGGAAAAUUGCAGUUGAAACUGGCAGUCUUGAGUACAGUAGAGGUGGGCGGAAUUCGUGGUGUAGCGGUGAAAUGCUUAGAUAUCACGAAGAACUCCGAUUGCGAAGGCAGUUCACUGGACUGCAACUGACACUGAGGCUCGAAAGUGUGGGUAUCAAACAGGAUUAGAUACCCCUGUAGUC